ACACAAAAAAAUUUAUUCACUUUUAUUUUUUUCCUUAUUUUCCACCCUUUAUUUUCUCUUCCCUCCAAAAAGUUUUCCAAACACAGUGCGUAUGAAACCAAACGCAUGCGCCUCUCAAUAAUAUUUGCCCAAAACGGCAAGUUUCCUUUAUAUUAUUGCCUUCUCCUCCAUCUCUUUAUUCUCCGCCUCAGUGUGACCGCACAGUUAAUUUUUCGUCCUUUUGCGGAUAUCAAUGGCUGCAAAAGCACCAGAACCUACUACCGGCGGUACUACGACCACCCAUCCCUUUGAUCCCAGCACUGGUUUUUGUAAGGAAACCAGAACCUUUNNN
rnacentral:lncRNA from 1 species